rnacentral:rRNA from 1 species
CAGUCGCCACGGUAAUACGUAGGUGGCAAGCGUUGUCCGGAAUUAUUGGGCGUAAAGCGCGCGCAGGCGGAUAGGUCAGUCUGUCUUAAAAGUUCGGGGCUUAACCCCGUGAUGGGAUGGAAACUGCCAAUCUAGAGUAUCGGAGAGGAAAGUGGAAUUCCUAGUGUAGCGGUGAAAUGCGUAGAUAUUAGGAAGAACACCAGUGGCGAAGGCGACUUUCUGGACGAGAACUGACGCUGAGGCGCGAAAGCCAGGGGAGCAAACAGGAUUAGAUACCCCUGUAGUCCCUGUCUCUUAUACA